rnacentral:tRNA from 2 species
UUAACUAAAACCAAAAAGAGGUAAAUUAUUGUUAAUAAUUUUAUUGAAUAUUUUAUUCUAGUUAAU